AUCUCUAAUGUGGCACACUCAAGAGCUGAGAAGAAACUGAGCAAACGCUCCCAGUGUUGAAUCAGAGCCUCUGGGAAUUCUAGAACUUGAGAAACAAUCUAUGUGUCCUCACAAUGGGUUGUACCUCUUACAUCCUGUUCAGGCAGGCUGGCCCUGCAACCCAUGGCAAUGCCACUAGUGAAGAGCAUUUUCUGUGUGUAGAAUAGUGUGUUAGGGGUAGCUUCAAAAACAAACAAAAAAUGUUACCAGAACACACAUGUUCUUUUAGUGAAAGUUUAAAAGAUAGCACUUCUUUGCAGAGGGUCAACAGUGAAGUGUGGUGACCUGGUUACUUUCUGUUUGACUAAGUGUUUCAUGGCUCUGGUUUGCACUCUGGAAGACUAAUCUUUGCUGAGAUUAGCUGAGUACUGAGUGGUUUUGGCUUCAAACUGAGGCUUCGUGGAGACUGCAACAUAGUCUGUGACCUCAAUGGUAAGCCCAGAGCCUUGAGCUUGCUAAACAACUGCUCUACCCACCGAACCUCAAGAUCCUCAACUCUACAGUGUGACACAUGAAAAGAGUGAGAGCAAAUGGAUGGAGUAUGUAGAAGAUCAGGCAUCAUCCACUGGAUUGAUGUCAGUCUGGAUGUCUAGAUCUGACAAUGCUGGUCUGUCUCCUCUCUUGGGAUUAGGGAACACAGGAUGUCCCAUACAACUUCUUACCUCGUGUUCGGUCAUUACUAAUGUUCAAGUGAGUACUUUUCCCCUAGGCAUUAUUCCUAGAGUCCCUCAGAAUAUACUGCUUCUGUCCAGUGUAAAGCUGAAAGUUGUGAGUGGGAUGGGCAGAAAAACAAGAAGCAGAGUGUCAGGUAGAGAGAAAAG
rnacentral:lncRNA from 1 species